rnacentral:rRNA from 1 species
GACGAACGCUGGCGGCGUGCUUAACACAUGCAAGUCGAACGGUGAAGGGACCAGCUUGCUGGUUCUGGAUGAGUGGCGAACGGGUGAGUAACACGUGAGUAACCUGCCCCCUUCUUCUGGAUAACCGCAUGAAAGUGUGGCUAAUACGGGAUAUUCUGGGUCUGUCGCAUGGCGGGCCCGGGAAAGAUAUUGCUUCGGUGGGGGAUGGGCUCGCGGCCUAUCAGCUUGUUGGUGGGGUGAUGGCCUACCAAGGCGGUGACGGGUAGCCGGCCUGAGAGGGUGGACGGUCACACUGGGACUGAGACACGGCCCAGACUCCUACGGGAGGCAGCAGUGGGGAAUAUUGCACAAUGGGCGCAAGCCUGAUGCAGCGACGCCGCGUGAGGGAUGGCGGCCUUCGGGUUGUAAACCUCUUUCGCCAGUGAAGCAGGCCUGCUCCUUGUGGGUGGGUUGACGGUAGCUGGAUAAGAAGCGCCGGCUAACUACGUG